rnacentral:rRNA from 1 species
CAAGGAGUUUUCCGCAAUGGGCGCAAGCCUGACGGAGCAACGCCGCGUGGGGGAUGACACCUUUCGGGGCGUAAACCCCUUUUCUUGGGGACGAAGCAGUGACGGUACCCGAGGAAGAAGGCCCGGCUAACUACGUGCCAGCAGCCGCGGUAAUACGUAGGGGCCGAGCGUUGUCCGGAGUUACUGGGCGUAAAGCGCGCGCAGGCGGCUCGUCAAGCCUGACGUGAAAGCCCCCGGCUCAACCGGGGAGGGUCGUCGGGGACUGGCGGGCUCGAGGUCGGCAGGGGUUGGUGGAAUUCCCGGUGUAGUGGUGAAAUGCGUAGAGAUCGGGAGGAACACCCGUGGCGAAGGCGGCCAACUGGGCCGGACCUGACGCUGAGGCGCGAAGGCGUGGGGGAGCGAACGGGAUUAGAUACCCCGGUAGUCCACGCAGUAAACGAUGCAGACUAGGCGUGGGGGGACGUUGACCCCCUCCGUGCCGGAAGCCAACGCGUGAAGUCUGCCGCCGUGGGGAGUACGGCCGCAAGGCUAAAACUCAAAGAAA